rnacentral:lncRNA from 1 species
AUUUCAGUCUUAACACAAAUGAUAGUUGGUGACGUGGUCAUUGAAAGCACCAAAAAUAUCUCAUCCCUAAUAAAUAAUGAAAAAGUAUAGUAAAAGGGAAGUAAGGUCAAAUCCUCAGGGACUAGAUUUGCACAAUAUCUUGUUCUGUGAAAUCCCAGGCAGAAUCUUGCCCAAGAAAAGCUGCGUUCCUGGAAAAAAAUAAGA